rnacentral:rRNA from 1 species
GACGAACGCUGGCGGCGUGCUUAACACAUGCAAGUCGAACGGAAAGGCCCUGCUUUUGUGGGGUGCUCGAGUGGCGAACGGGUGAGUAACACGUGAGUAACCUGCCCUUGACUUUGGGAUAACUUCAGGAAACUGGGGCUAAUACCGGAUAGGAGCUCCUGCUGCAUGGUGGGGGUUGGAAAGUUUCGGCGGUUGGGGAUGGACUCGCGGCUUAUCAGCUUGUUGGUGGGGUAGUGGCUUACCCAGGCUUUGACGGCUAGCCGGCCUGAGAGGGUGACCGGCCACAUUGGGCCUGAGAGACGGACCAGACGCCUACGGGAGGCAGCAGUGGGGAAUAUUGUACAAUGGGCGGAAGCCUGAGGCAGCAACGCCGCGUGCGGGAUGACGGCCUUCGGGGGGGAAACCGCUUUCGCCUGUGACGAAGCGUGAGUGACGGUAAUGGGUAAAGAAGCACCGGCUAACUACGUG